CUCAGCGCGUUUCCCUCCACCCAGAAGGCCCGUCCCAGCCAAUGGGAAGAGAGAGAAGCAGCGAGGGAGGGGGGCAGGUUGUCAGCUUCUCCUCGGAGGUCUGAGGAGCAGGUUCUGCUUUGUCAGCAGGAGGAGGGAUUUUGUUUUUGAGGGGGUCAUUUGUCACUCGUGACACUUAAGUGGUUAACGGUAGAUGAAGAGCAGCUGGAUCUUCACAGGGUCCCCGUGGGAGGCCGAGAACUGGCGUUGGUAGACAAUGGCUCUGGUUUCAUACAGACGGCUGGAGCUCGUGGCCCCCCAGGAGGCACCUUUUGGCUCAUCAGGCAACUUGCUCCUCCCCCCCUGUGCGCCGGUCCGAUUGUCUGCCCCGCCCCUGACUGUCCCCACCUGUCCCCUUACCCUGUGUGUGCAUGUGGGCCGCGUCUCCCUUUGUCCUGCGCCAGUCUGUCCCGUGUCACAGAUUCUGUUGAUUCAUUCAUUCUAGAUCCUUUUGUUCUUAGAUUUAGCAAAGGGCCUUUUUCCUCUUCCCGAGAGUGAUUUUCGUUUGCUGCCCUUUUGUCAAUAAACCUUUGAACGUCGUCUCAGGAGUUGUGCAUUUGGGUUCGGCGUCAUUGUCCGUUGGUGAGCGAAGGCUUCUUUCCAUUGAGGGAGUUACUUGUUCGUGGCUCUUGUAUCUCUUGUAGUCUGAUCUGCAGAUGUUUUUAAUGUGAGCAGAAUGUGCAGAUAAAUCUCUGCGCCGUCAACUGUGGUGAAUUCGAAGGACAACUGCGGCAUC
ensembl:lncRNA